AUUGAACGCUGGCGGCAUGCUUUACACAUGCAAGUCAAACGGUAACAGGGUGCUUGCACCGCUGACGAGUGGCGUACGGGUGAGUAAUGCAUCGGAACGUGCCCAGUCGUGGGGGAUAAUGCAGCGAAAGCUGCGCUAAUACCGCAUACGAUCUCUGGAUGAAAGCGGGGGACCGAAAGGCCUCGCGCGAUUGGAGCGGCCGAUGUCAGAUUAGGUAGUUGGUGGGGUAAAGGCCCACCAAGCCAACGAUCUGUAGCUGGUCUGAGAGGACGACCAGCCACACUGGGACUGAGACACGGCCCAGACUCCUACGGGAGGCAGCAGUGGGGAAUUUUGGACAAUGGGCGCAAGCCUGAUCCAGCAAUGCCGCGUGCAGGAAGAAGGCCUUCGGGUUGUAAACUGCUUUUGUACGGAACGAAACGGUCCGGGUUAAUACCCUGGGCUAAUGACGGUACCGUAAGAAUAAGCACCGGCUAACUACGUGCCAGCAGCCGCAGUAAAAC
rnacentral:rRNA from 1 species